rnacentral:sRNA from 1 species
GAGCCCAGCCCUGAUAGGCAACCUGGA